UGACGCGAUCCGGGAGAGUCCGGGCCCGAUCAGUCAGGUCCGGCGCCGAAGGAGCAACCGGUCCCGGAAACUCUCAGGUACCAGGGACCGGAUCGCCAGG
rnacentral:ncRNA from 2 species